AGAGGAAGUAAAAGUCGUAACAAGGUUUCCGUAGGUGAACCUGCGGAAGGAUCAUUAGUGAUUGUGAAUCGUUGCCCUCAGUGCUGGCCCCGGCAAGUGCACGUUGGUGACUUUCAUCCAAUACCCCUGUGAACUUCUGGCCUCUUGCUAGCUUCGGCUGGCAGAGGAUUUUUACACACACUCGAAUGUAAUGAAACCUAUUGUUGUGCGCAAGCACUAAUAUACAACUUUCAACAACGGAUCUCUUGGCUCUCGCAUCGAUGAAGAACGCAGCGAAAUGCGAUAAGUAAUGUGAAUUGCAGAAUUCAGUGAAUCAUCGAAUCUUUGAACGCACCUUGCACCCUUUGGCAUUCCGAAGGGUAUGCUCGUUUGAGUGUCAUUGUACUCUCACGCUCUCCCAUCCUCUGGAUCGGGGGAGUGGUGGACUUGGGCGUCUGCUGCUUGACUGUGGCUCGCUUUAAAUAUAUUCGUGCAACUCUUGGUUGGACAUAGUACGGCGUGAUAAGUGUCUUCGCCGGCACCUCGCAAGAGGGUGACUGAUUGAGAGCUCUGUGCUUCAAACUGUCUUCGGACAAUCUCUGACAACUUGACCUCAAAUCGAGUAGGACUACCCGCUGAACUUAAGCAUAUCAAUAAGCGGAGGAAAAGAAACUAACAAGGAUUCCCCUAGUAACGGCGAGUGAAGAGGGAAGAGCUCAAAUUUUGAAUCUGGCGUCUUUGGCGUCCGAAUUGUAAUCUAGAGAAGUGUUUUCCGUGACGGACCGUGCAUAAGUCUCCUGGAAUGGAGCGUCAUGGAGGGUGAGAAUCCCGUAUAUGGCACGGACUCCCGUUGCUCUGUGAUACACUCUCGACGAGUCGAGUUGUUUGGGAAUGCAGCUCUAAAYGGGUGGUAAAUGCCAUCUAAAGCUAAAUAUUGGCGAGAGACCGAUAGCGAACAAGUACCGUGAGGGAAAGAUGAAAAGCACUUUGGAAAGAGAGUGAAACAGUACGUGAAAUUGUUGAAAGGGAAACGCUUGAAGUCAGUCGCGCCGUUCGGGAUUCAGCCUUGCUUUUGCUUGGUUUACUUCCCGUUGGGYGGGUCAACAUCAGUUUUGGUCGGAGGAGAAAGGCKUGGGGAAGGUGGCAGCAUUCGUGCUGUGUUAUAGCCCCUUGUUGUAUACUUCGACUGGGACUGAGGACCGCAGCACGCCUCUGGCCGGGGUUCGCCCACGUACGUGCUUAGGA
rnacentral:rRNA from 1 species